rnacentral:rRNA from 1 species
GAGAGGAUGAUCAGCCACACUGGAACUGAGACACGGUCCAGACUCCUACGGGAGGCAGCAGUGGGGAAUAUUGCACAAUGGGCGCAAGCCUGAUGCAGCCAUGCCGCGUGUGUGAAGAAGGCCUUCGGGUUGUAAAGCACUUUCAGUCGUGAGGAAGGUGGUAGUGUUAAUAGCACUAUCAUUUGACGUUAGCGACAGAAGAAGCACCGGCUAACUCCGUGCCAG